rnacentral:rRNA from 1 species
AUGCAACUCCAAGAAAGAUUGGUCGGUGCUGCGGCUGGCGUGAAGUUCGAUCCCAGGGAUCAGGAGCUGAUCGAGCACCUUGAGGCCAAAGUGAGUGCCGACAGCACGAGAUCGCACCCUCUCAUCGAUUUAUUCAUACCAACCAUCGACAGCGAGCACGGCAUAUGCUACACCCAUCCUGAGAAACUUCCAGGUAUCACACUGAGUGGCCUAAGCAAGCAUUUCUUCCAGCGCAAUUCCAAGGCAUUCAAAAGGGGCACGUGGAUGCGUCGCAAGAUACAGUCAGAGUGCAGCAUGCACGCGAUGUGGCACAAGACUGGCAAUACCUUGCCGGUGAUGGUCAAUGGCCGGCAGAUGGGCAACAAAAAGGGUCUGGGGCUGCACACCAACAAGAACUUCGACCAGCAGAGGACCAACUGGGUGAUGCACCAGUACCACCUCGGGGACCUGGAAAUUCUCUCAUUUAUUGAGCAGGCCCAGCCCACGACGACAACGGGGCACAAAGAUCCAGCAGGUAUCAACUGGCCUCUGGCCCACCAGCUUUAG